rnacentral:rRNA from 1 species
AGUGAACGCUGGCGGUAGGCCUAACACAUGCAAGUCGAACGGCAGCACAGUAAGAGCUUGCUCUUACGGGUGGCGAGUGGCGGACGGGUGAGGAAUACAUCGGAAUCUACUUUUUCGUGGGGGAUAACGUAGGGAAACUUACGCUAGUACCGCAUACGACCUACGGGCGAAAGGAGGGGAUCUUCGGACCUUGCGCGAUUGAAUGAGCCGAUGUCGGAUUAGCUAGUUGGCGGGGUAAAGGCCCACCAAGGCGACGAUCCGUAGCUGGUCUGAGAGGAUGAUCAGCCACACUGGAACUGAGACACGGUCCAGACUCCUACGGGAGGCAGCAGUGGGGAAUAUUGGACAAUGGGCGCAAGCCUGAUCCAGCCAUACCGCGUGGGUGAAGAAGGCCUUCGGGUUGUAAAGCCCUUUUGUUGGGAAAGAAAAGCAGCAGGUUAAUACCCCGCUGUUCUGACGGUACCCAAAGAAUAAGCACCGGCUAACUUCGUG